rnacentral:rRNA from 1 species
GACGAACGCUGGCGGCGUGCUUAACACAUGCAAGUCGAACGGAAAGGCCCUGCUUUUGUGGGGUGCUCGAGUGGCGAACGGGUGAGUAACACGUGAGUAACCUGCCCUUGACUUUGGGAUAACUUCAGGAAACUGGGGCUAAUCCCGGAUAGGAGCUCCUGCUGCAUGGUGGGGGUUGGAAAGUUUCGGCGGUUGGGGAUGGACUCGCGGCUUAUCAGCUUGUUGGUGGGGUAGUGGCUUACCAAGGCUUUGACGGGUAGCCGGCCUGAGAGGGUGACCGGCCACAUUGGGAUGGAGAUACGGCCCAGACCCGUACGGGAGGCAGCGGUGGGGAGGAUCGUACAAUGGGCGGGAGGCUGAUGCAGCAACGCCGCGUGCGGGAUGACGGCCUUCGGGUUGUAAACCGCUUUCGCCUGUGACGAAGCGUGAGUGACGGUAAUGGGUAAAGAAGCACCGGCUAACUACGUG